CAGUAGCCACGGGAAUACGUAGGUGGCAAGCGUUGUCCGGAAUUAUUGGGCGUAAAGGGCUCGCAGGCGGUUUCUUAAGUCUGAUGUGAAAGCCCCCGGCUCAACCGGGGAGGGUCAUUGGAAACUGGGAAACUUGAGUGCUGAAGAGGAGAGUGGAAUUCCACGUGUAGCGGUGAAAUGCGUAGAGAUGUGGAGGAACACCAGUGGCGAAGGCGACUCUCUGGUCUGUAACUGACGCUGAGGAGCGAAAGCGUGGGGAGCGAACAGGAUUAGAUACCCCUGUAGUCCCUGUCUCUUAUAC
rnacentral:rRNA from 1 species